CUGUAGGUUCCAGAGCCCUGCCACUCAAACACCUGGGGCUGUCUUAAAGAAGUAGGCCUUAGCCGGCCGGGGGAUGGUAGAAGGGGACCCCUCAAGCGAGCAGGAUGCCGCCAUUCCUCUCAAGGCUCUGAGUGGCAAGGGAGGGCGACCCUGGUCCCUUAAAUCAGCAGCUGCAGGCAGCGCUCACCAGCCGCCUGGGUGAUCGGAGCCCCAUAAAAAGCGCCACCUAGUCCAGGGCGCCGGGCAGGGGGAAUGAUGCUUGGCACUCUGGGCGUGGUUCUGUGGGAGAGCUUUUCCCUGCAGCCAUGGAUUUGAACCUCAGCACUAAAAGAUUCAAAACAACAACAGCAAAAGAAACAAAAACGGAUUGGCAUUCAGAGACUAAGCAGGCCCUGGACCCAGUUAAGAUGAGAAGAACAUGGGUCUUCCUAUCUAAAUUCGUAGUGAGUCCUGGCAGUUUUCACAGCCAUUCGGUGCAUCCAAUAAGACCCCCAGCGCGAACUCCGUUUUCUACCAGAGUCGCUCCUGUGCCAACUCAAACAGAGUUUGAGUUGCUUGAGAUGCUGUGGAUGACGCACAGCCCUGAAUUAAUGGACUUGGGGGUUCUGAUCAAUUUAAGUGCAUCUAUACAUUCCAUAUAGUCGGGUUGUGUUCCAUGUACGCCCCUUACACAAGCUCGACGGCCGCAAAGAGGGUCAUGUAAACUGAGUCAGCGUGAAGAAAAUGCACAGUAGACAGACAGUCCAGUUUGGUUGCAAAUUCAGCGGACUGGUUUAAGUAAACCAAAGACAGACUCAUUCUUGUCGGAAAAACCAAACAAAAGAUCCGUUGAGCACCCUUCUGAGACAAAGCGUGUCUUCAGGGACUGUCUGCAGCUAUUAACUCCAUUGCUAAUAUUGCCUCUAUUCACAGUGAAGUGUGCUCCCAGGCUUUCCUCUGCUCAGUCUGCCACGAGAAGUAGUAAAAUCAAACAAAUACAGAUGCCGGUCAUUGAUGAGCGGUCCUCACUCUAGUAUGUAGGAUUGUAUAGAUGUACAGAAAGGUACAGAGCAAAGAUUCUCAGCUGACGAAACAAGCGCAUGCUACAUCCUUCCUGCUUCCCUUUCCUUCAGCCUGUUACCAAACGCGUCUCCCACUAAAACCAUGACAGCGUUCCUCCUCACGUCACAAACUUCUCUGCAGACUACUCUACCACCGCCUCUGGUACCCAGAGCCUCCACCUGCCUGGUUCUGAGAUUCCCCAGGUCAGCUAUGAAGAACACUCAGGCUGACCCCCAUCGCACUCACAGGAAAAUUAGAAUCGGGUCUCAGGGAAUGCAGCAAAGUCUAUGCCCGUGUUAGAUAAUGGGAAGCCUGCAGCUAGACUCUGAUGUGAGCAAUGCCUGCGCACCAUCCAGUGAACUUCCGUGACCUGACAUUAAUAAUUGGGAAUAGGGUUUAGUGUUUAUAUUUCAUGUUUAUUAAAUAACCAUGUUUAAUUUGCUUUUCAGCCUCAUCAAAACACACGUAGAAACAAUUCAUCAUGUAUUAAGAAGAGCAACACAGUCAGCCAUGCCCUGCAAACACCUAAAUCAAUAUUUCAUGCCCUGUGGGACUUCCCAGGCAGAAGACAAUAAAUAAUUUGCCUUGAUUGAGUAACGCUGAAGGAGUCUAGAGCCAGGUUCCAUUUUCUUGCUUUUGCCUGCUGGAUGGAUUAACGUUGCCUGUGGUGCGGUAUUUUCCCAUUUGUUUUCCAAUAGUUUAGUAGGCAAUCAUGCUGGCCACUGUUAUUAAACUGCCUCGCCUUGUGAAAGGUAGGGCGAAAAUGUCAGGUGCCAUGUGGUGCUGUACACUGACUAAACCAUAGUAAUUGCUAAUCUAUAGUUGACCAGUAAUCCAUCUCAAUUUUUUAUUCUACUAGGGCAAACGGUACUUUUUGGCUUUCAGGGAAUCAGUUAUAGCAGUCAGUGUUUAUCAUGGAAAACCUGUUGCAUUGGAGGUAACCCUAUUUUUGAGGUCAUGGAAGAACUGCUAUUGUCAAUGAAAAUGGGCACACAUUUUCACACGGUAUCACAGAGAUGCUCUGUCUUGACCAUGAUGGAUAAUGCUGUAGGAUGCAUAGGAGCACAGUUUCCUCUCCAGCUACAGACUUGGAUCCCUUGAGUAUUUGCCAAGUAGGAUGGUAGGUGCCAAUAAGAUUGUGUGGAAAUUCCACUUUUCCUUUCUGAGGUAUCUCCGUACUGUUUUCUAAAAUGGCUACAACGUUUUUCAUUCCCUGUGAUAUUAUGAACUGUUUUCUCUCCCUCAUGUCUUCACCAAUUUGAGCAUCUUUUGUUGGUAAUGUAGCCAUUUUUCCUGAAGCAAGCUUUAGAUUUGCAUUAAUGUUGUGUUUCUUUCAUAAACAUGUUAACUGUAUAUCUUCUCUUGAGAGAACCUUUUUUUUUCUUUUUUCUUCCUGAGAUAGGUUUCUCUGUGUAGCCUUGGCUGUCCUGGACUCGCUUUGUAGACCAGGCUGGCCUCGAACUGACAACAAUCUGCCUGCCUCUGCCUCCUUGAGCGCUGGGCUUACAAGUGUGUACCACCACACCCUGUCUGCCAUCCAUUUAACUGGGGUCUGGGGGUUGUUUGAGCCUUUGAUGAUUUGUUUUUCCAGUUCCUCACAAAUGCUGUAUAUUAACUCCUGGAGAGAGAAUGUUUUAACACGUUCUACCACUUUGUAGGUAGUGUCUUCACUCUAAUGCUUACUGUGCCAGAGCUUUCUAAUUAUAUGUAAUCCCACAUGUCCAGCCCGGCUUCAUACCUGUGCUUUUGAGGUCUUAUUCAAGUAAAUCCUUCCAGUUCCAA